UCCUUUCUUUCUUUCCCACCGAACCGCUCGAACCCCUCUCUCUUCCUCUCCCUACGCGGCCACUCUGCUCUCGCACCCAACCCUAGCUCCCGACGAUGCGCCGCCGCCCACCAUCUUCCCCCACCGUCUGCCUGCUUUGCCCCACCGCCCCCACCUUCUCCCCCUCGGCGCAGCACAUCUGAAACGAAUGAGCGCAGCACCUCCUCUCCCGGAUUCCGUCGCAUCCCGUGGUCGCCGCCCUCGUCUCCCUCGGCGCGGCGCUUCCCCACCGACGACCUCGAUGCCCAUCCCCCCACCGGCGCCGCCCCCACCAACCUUCUCUCUCUCUCUCUUCCCUUGGCCGGCGCACGCUUGUGGAGGCAGACCCGCGACGCGCCACCUCCGCCCCGUCGUCGUCGGCGGCUGCUCGUCAACGGCCGUGGUCCAGAAGCACAGCUUCGCCUGGCCGCGACGGAUCUGCGCAAGGGCCGCGCUGGGCGAGGAGCCCCCAUGCUCGGCCGCCACUUGGUUCGCUCCUCUUCUUUCGGCCACCGGGAGAGGACCUCGUGACGGCGAUGCUACCGGAUCCGCGACGGAGGUGCUCGAGGUCGCGCGCAGCGACAGGAGGCCGAAAUGUUUUGUUGUGGAGACCACGGAUGGGACUAUCGCAGUUGCUUCUGUGUUUCGCGGGCAUCAGGAAGGGAUCACAAGUUCUUGUCGAAAGCGGUAGAAGAGGGAGUUAACUGUGGCCAUGGAGGCCUGUUUGGCUCCGACGCCAUGGAUGCCGCUGCGCUCUCUCAUCGUCCUCCUCCCUGACCCCUAGGCACAUCGGGCCGCUGUGCUUCUUCUAGUUUCACAUUGUUACAAAUCCUUCAUGGUGCUAUUGAAUACUCCUGCUGCCACACAAGACGACCAAGGUCCGCUCUGCUCUGCUGCUAUCCCUCGCUCUAGCUCCAUUCGUUGCUGCACAAGAAAAACAGAGACAAAUGAAAACUAAUUAUCUAAGAUGAGUCCGUCGAUGAAGCGGCAGCGUCUCCUCUAGAGGGUGACGGCGGCGGCGGCGCCUGUGUGCGGCUUCGACUACAACCUCCUCUCCGGGCGACCCUAGAAGGCAUAUCACCGUUCUGUUAGCCCAGUCCUGACAGUAGCAGGCGCCUAGUUUAUGAUCGCUAUCGGAAGAGCUCCAUGCUGAAGAACAUAGCUCGUAACUAUCUUGUUAGUACACAUGUGGAGCUUGUAACCGUGAUUGCCAUACUUUUAGAGCUUGUAGCUACUUAUUACACUUGUAGAGCUUCUGGUAGAGCAUGUAUAUGUUGGAGCUUAUUACGUGUAGAGCUUGUAGAUCUUGUAAAGUAUUGUAUAUGUUAUUACCUGUUAUUUGUACAACAGGAGCUCUGUACUGAAUCUGGAGUAUUACGUUUGUUUUU